rnacentral:rRNA from 1 species
GAGUUUGAACCUGGCUCAGGACGAACGCUGGCGGCGUGCCUAAUACAUGCAAGUCGAGCGAGCUUGCCUAGAUGAUUUUAGUGCUUGCACUAAAUGAAACUAGAUACAAGCGAGCGGCGGACGGGUGAGUAACACGUGGGUAACCUGCCCAAGAGACUGGGAUAACACCUGGAAACAGAUGCUAAUACCGGAUAACAACACUAGACGCAUGUCUAGAGUUUGAAAGAUGGUUCUGCUAUCACUCUUGGAUGGACCUGCGGUGCAUUAGCUAGUUGGUAAGGUAACGGCUUACCAAGGCAAUGAUGCAUAGCCGAGUUGAGAGACUGAUCGGCCACAUUGGGACUGAGACACGGCCCAAACUCCUACGGGAGGCAGCAGUAGGGAAUCUUCCACAAUGGACGAAAGUCUGAUGGAGCAACGCCGCGUGAGUGAAGAAGGGUUUCGGCUCGUAAAGCUCUGUUGGUAGUGAAGAAAGAUAGAGGUAGUAACUGGCCUUUAUUUGACG